GCCCUGGUGGCACAGUGAUUAAGCAUUUGGCUGCUAACCAAAAGGUCUGUAGUUCAAAUCUACCAGCCGCU
rnacentral:tRNA from 1 species